GAGGCUGCCCUCAUCAUAGCAGUGGAACAGGACCAGCUGGGACAGGGUCCUUCUGUGACACCUGCUGUGUCACCAGGCUGUGCGAAUGGACUCAGCUGCCCGAACUCACAGAAUAUCAGUAACAGCACCGAAACUUCACAGGAAAAAUGGUCCACGAACUUCAGACUUAAAAAGCAUCACUGGCUCCUGACCAGGAUUCCAGCUCCAUGAACCUCAAACUAGAACACCAGCCCGGCUUCUCUGCAGGUCUCCAGCUCCAAAACCUAAGACAUCAGUGGCAGUACAAACUCAUCCCAGGGGCUCCAGCUCCAGGACCCUCAGACUUGAACCGCAGCACCAACUCUUCCCUGGAUCUCCAUCUCCAUGACCCUCAGACUUAAACAGCAGCAGCACCAGUUCAUCUGUGAAUCUCCAGCUCCACAACCCUCCAACUAGAAACACACCAGCUCCUCCCUGGGUCUCCAGCUGCACGACCCUCAAACUACAACAUCAGCUCCAAAACUCAUAUAUUCAUUAUCCUAGGGGAAAAAACAAGGAACAAGCAACAAUAAAGAAAAAAAAAGAAGUAGAGACUAGGUAACUAAGAGCAAGAUAAAAAGGUGAGUUUUUGUCUAAAGCAUUGCUGAGCACAUGGAAGACACUCAAUAAAUACUCGUUUAAUGGAAUUGAAUUUGUAAGCACCAGAGACUCAUGCUUCCUUUUCACAUAGCUUGACACUUG
rnacentral:lncRNA from 1 species